AGGAUGAACGCUGGCGGCGUGCUUAACACAUGCAAGUCGAACGGGAAACCUUUUAUUGAAGCUUCGGCAGAUUUAGCUGGUUUCUAGUGGCGGACGGGUGAGUAACGCGUGGGUAACCUGCCUUAUACAGGGGGAUAACAACCAGAAAUGGUUGCUAAUACCGCAUAAGCGCACAGGACCGCAUGGUCCGGUGUGAAAAACUCCGGUGGUAUAAGAUGGACCCGCGUUGGAUUAGCUAGUUGGCAGGGUAACGGCCUACCAAGGCGACGAUCCAUAGCCGGCCUGAGAGGGUGAACGGCCACAUUGGGACUGAGACACGGCCCAGACUCCUACGGGAGGCAGCAGUGGGGAAUAUUGCACAAUGGGGGAAACCCUGAUGCAGCGACGCCGCGUGAAGGAAGAAGUAUCUCGGUAUGUAAACUUCUAUCAGCAGGGAAGAUAGUGACGGUACCUGACUAAGAAGCCCCGGCUAACUACGUGCCAGCAGCCGCGGUAAUACGUAGGGGGCAAGCGUUAUCCG
rnacentral:rRNA from 1 species